ACGAACGCUGGCGGCGGGCUUAACACAUGCAAGUCGAACGGAAAGGCCCUGCUUUUGUGGGGUGCUCGAGUGGCGAACGGGUGAGUAACACGUGAGUAACCUGCCCUUGACUUUGGGAUAACUUCAGGAAACUGGGGCUAAUACCGGAUAGGAGCUCCUGCUGCAUGGUGGGGGUUGGAAAGUUUCGGCGGUUGGGGAUGGACUCGCGGCUUAUCAGCUUGUUGGUGGGGUAGUGGCUUACCAAGGCGUUGACGGGUAGCCGGCCUGAGAGGGUGACCGGCCACAUUGGGACUGAGAUACGGCCCAGACUCCUACGGGAGGCAGCAGUGGGGAAUAUUGCACAAUGGGCGGAAGCCUGAUGCAGCAACGCCGCGUGCGGGAUGACGGCCUUCGGGUUGUAAACCGCUUUCGCCUGUGACGAAGCGUGAGUGACGGUAAUGGGUAAAGAAGCACCGGCUAACUACGUG
rnacentral:rRNA from 1 species